rnacentral:rRNA from 1 species
GAGUUUGAUCCUGGCUCAGGAUGAACGCUGGCGGCGUGCUUAACACAUGCAAGUCGAACGGGAAACAUUUCAUUGAGGCUUCGGCGGAUCUGAUCUGUUUCUAGUGGCGGACGGGUGAGUAACGCGUGGGUAACCUGCCUUAUACAGGGGGAUAACAGUCAGAAAUGGCUGCUAAUACCGCAUAAGCGCACAGAGCUGCAUGGCUCAGUGUGAAAAACUCCGGUGGUAUAAGAUGGACCCGCGUUGGAUUAGCUUGUUGGUGGGGUAACGGCCCACCAAGGCGACGAUCCAUAGCCGGCCUGAGAGGGUGAACGGCCACAUUGGGACUGAGACACGGCCCAGACUCCUACGGGAGGCAGCAGUGGGGAAUAUUGCACAAUGGGGGAAACCCUGAUGCAGCGACGCCGCGUGAAGGAAGAAGUAUCUCGGUAUGUAAACUUCUAUCAGCAGGGAAGAUAGUGACGGUACCUGACUAAGAAGCCCCGGCUAACUACGUGCCAGCCGCCGCGGUAAUAC